CAGGUGGACAAGGCCAGCCUGGUCAUAGAGUGAGUACAGGACAGCCAGGGCUACACAGGGAAACCCUGUCUUGGUCUUGAAAAUGAAAACAAAACAACACAUUUUAUAUAUAUCCUUUCAAUUAGACAAUGGCUUUGUGAUUUUGAGGAGUUGGUUUACUUGACUGUUGGGUGCUUACUCUUUUGUGUGGAGUAGUUCCUGCCCAGGACCUGAGGCACCCAUGUUAUUAGAUCACAUCCUGAGAUGGAGCUGGGAACAAUAGCGAAGGUUAGCUGUCAAAAUGUUACAUUUCCAGCCAGAUGUGGUGUAGACUUGUAAUCCCUGCACUGGGGAGAUGCAGGCAAGAUGAUUGAAUUCCAAGCCAGCCCAGGCUGCAUAAUGAGGCCCUGUCUCAAGAGAAAAAAACACAAAAAAGAUUCCAGCGUGGGACACAUGGAUGGUGUGGGGCCUGAGCUAAGGAACAUGAGAGCUUCACGGCACAUGCCCUGCUGUGGCUGGCAGUAACUGCAAAAUCCCCGCUCCCCAAAGCAAGUUUACCAGGCACCCUCCAUGUGGUACAUCCUGCUUGAUGGACACACAAGAUCUAGUUAAAAGGUUGAAACUUUCUCCCUUCUCCUCCUGUCAGCCGGCCAUCAGAGACAGCCUAAUUGUUAGCCUGUACUCCAGGCUACUCAUCAACUCAUGAGAUGGUCUAGCUCGGAAGCCUGAGACCUUUCAGUCACUAUCUUGAAGGUCUUGAUGAUUUUGGUGAUGAGGCCUUCCCUACAUGGUGGCUGAUCUUGGUUGUCAACUUGACUGACACACCUGGGAUGAGAAACCUCAGCUGAAGAGUUGCCUCUAUCAAGCUGGCCUAUGUGACUGUGGAGGACUUUCUCGAUUGCUCAUGGAUGGAGGCGGGCCCAGCCUACUGUAGGUGGUACCAUUCGAAGGGAAGUGGGCCUGGCCUGUCGAAGGAAGGGGCCAAACAAGCUGAGGACGCAAUCCAGUAAGCAGAGCUCCUCCUCCGCGGUCCUGCGUUGGCUCCCGCCCUGACUUCACUGAAUGAUGGACGCACUGAGAUGUGGGGGUGUCAGCCACAUAAGCCCUUUUCUCCCCCAGGCUGCUUUUGGUUAUGGUGUUUAUCACAGCCACGAAACCACAGCAGGACACCUAGAUUUUUAUUUUAUACUGGACCCUGAAAAUCUGGUAGUUUAUUUAUGUGGCUGCUGGGCUCUGGGGCAGGAGGCAGCUACUCCAGACCUGCAGUGGCUCUGGGAUUUGUCAGAGGCUUGUCAAUCCCAUGAUCCCGUCCUUUAGGCUAAUGGCUGAGUCACCAACAGACAGGAAGGAAGCUAGCCGGAGCCCCGCCAGGCAGGUCUGCCUGUUACUGCGAAUCUCUUCAAGACUGUACAGAUGCAAGGGAGGAGCCUGGCUAGAGAAAUUCAGGGGAUCGAACUGGAAGCCACCAUGAUUCGAGGAGACUUAAGCUUGGUGUCGGAAGGUUUUCCUGAUAGGCAAAAUGUAAUCAUAAUAUGCGAAAUAUACCCCAAUAAAGCCGUUAAAAUGCAACUGUGAUAUGGGCAGGUGAGAGACAGCAUUUCUUGUGUGCAAAUAGCUGUCCUUCAUGGGAACACAGGCAAUAGCAGAUCGGUGAAGAAUGGUCCACAGGACAGUCAAGCCUGUCUCCACCACUUAUUGGCUGUGUGACUCAGGGCCAGUUGCUUGGCCUCUCUGAACUUCCAUUUUAUCACCUGGAAAGUGAGGAUAAAAAUAUCCACUUCCCUGGGUUAGUGUGAGGAUUAAGUUUACAUACAUAAAACAUGCUGAGUAGAACCUGACGUAA